rnacentral:rRNA from 1 species
UCCGUAGGGUGCAAGCGUUAAUCGGAAUUACUGGGCGUAAAGCGUGCGCAGGCGGCUUUGUACGUCUGACGUGAAAUCCCCGGGCUCAACCUGGGAAUUGCGUUGGAGACUGCAAGGCUAGAAUCUGGCAGAGGGGGGUAGAAUUCCACGUGUAGCAGUGAAAUGCGUAGAGAUGUGGAGGAACACCGAUGGCGAAGGCAGCCCCCUGGGUCAAGAUUGACGCUCAUGCACGAAAGCGUGGGGAGCAAACAGG